GGAUAAGUGGCCGAGUGGUUUAAGGCAUGAUACUUGAGAUAUCAAACACUUCUCUCCCCCCUCUCCGAGUGUCGCGAGUUCGAAUCUCGCCUUAUCCG
rnacentral:tRNA from 1 species